CCUCACAUUCUGUCUCAAAUCUCCCCAAAUAAAUUGUGCAAGUUUUCGAUCAAGUCUUCUUUUAGUUUUCAAUCAAGCACGGAGGAAAACAGACUAGCAAUCCAACAAAACUUCAUUGCUUUCUUUUCGGUUUGUGUUUGGAUUGAAAUGAUUUGCUUGUUGGCCAAGGACAUCCGAUCGUGAAGAAAACCGAGGCUAUCUAUUGUUUGGCGAAAAAGAAAAGAAAGAGAAAGGGAGAGAGUAGGGGUGUCGAAACGGGUAGCAGGUAUCAGGUAAUUUGCUACCUAGCCCGAUACCCGGGUAUCAGAUACCCGCUACCCGACAUAAACGGGAAACAUGGCGGGAUCGGGUGUUAGGAUUUUGGGUUUCGUGGGUACCAGGUACACCCGAUACCCGAACGGGUAUACCCGUUAAGCCUGAUAUACCUGAUUUUUAGUAUUAAAAUUUUGUAAUUUUUAAUUUUAAUUAUGGAAAACAGAAAGUGAUUUUUUAACACCAGCCGUUCAGCGUGUGAAUUUUUUAAUUAGGGUUAUUUUUUAUUUUAUCAUUUUCCCUCUUCUCUUCUCCUUCCACCGGCCACCACCUGCCGCUUCCUUCCACCCGCAUCCGCCAACACCAGCAACAACUUCGGCUGGGGUGCUAGUUCAGCUGUUCAGGUUGAGCUGUGAUAAAGUGGAGGGUGCUGAUUCAAGUGGGGCUUACUUUGUGUUUAUACAGUACUCUCGGAGGUUCAUGUCUUUAUACAUGGAACCGCGUUCAAUUGUUUUUCCUGUGCUAUUCAAGCAAGAUAAAUUUUGCUUCCCCUUGAGAUCCUGACGUUAAAUUAAUUGUGUUGUAAGAACCUUUAACUCAGAAACUUUAUGAUCAAGCGUAUCCUAUUCCAGUAUUCCCUCCAAGAUCCUUUGUAAUCAUAUGA